AGGGCUGUGGCUCAGUGAUAGAGCACAAGCUCAGCAUGCACAGGGCCUUGGGUUCAAUUCCCAGCAACGCUG
rnacentral:tRNA from 1 species